ensembl:lncRNA
GGAGGGCGCCCUCGCCUGACUCCUCCCUCGGCCCCUCCUAAGCUUCCACCAACAGCGCCGAGCUGGGCAGAGCCCCCACGGAACAGCCUCUGGGACACCCAGACUGACUCCUCAGACAAAUGUCACGCUCAGCAGCCACUCGGGAAAGCUCCCUGCAGCCAGGACCCUGACAGCCCCGAGCUCUGGGGACACCAGCCAGCACACGAAGGAAGGAUGGACAGUGACCAGCCACCAGCCAGGACAGACCCCUGCUGCGCGGUUACCACACUGCCUGCCACUUGCCCCACAAGCUGCCGUCCCUUGGUCACAGACACCGGGGACGAGGAGCAGCAGGCCCCGCCCGGCACCCUCUCUUUUCAGAUUUCUGGCCAUCACACAUGAGGGAAUAAAGAUAGCUGCAAAGCCAUCGCUGGACAAACCUGCCCCGUUGAUCUGACUGCAGUCUCAUUUUCAUCCCCUCAACAACCUUCCCUUUGUGUGACUUCUGCCUUGGAGAUACGAUGCUCUACCCACCGCCGGGCACAGCGCAUUGGGCAUGGUGCAGGGUGCUGGCUCCUCGGCAGCACACAGGGCACCUGGACGAAGCCACUGCCACAGUGGCCCAGUCACCCACACUCCGGAUGCACAGGCGACGGAGACGCUGAUGGAGCGCUGAGCUGAGGAACAAAACAGGCACGGGACUCUGCACUGAGCCAGCCCCACCGCCCUGGCCGACCGGCCUCACCCCCGAGGCCACGCUGCCCCAGGGCUGCUCCACACCAGUGCAGUCACCGCCAGCACUGCGUCCUCCUACACCAGGCUCCCGCCGAGCCUGGGACAGUCCUUCCGCUGUUGCCAGGGCUUCACUGAGGCAGGAGCUGUGUGCCGAGCCUCGAGGGAGCCCACAGGAGACUCCCAGGGCAGGAGCCCAGGACCCAUGUUACUCGGCCUGGAACCAAACCGCAGGGAGCAGGAGGCGGCAGAGUGGACGCCGAGAUCCCACCUUCUGCAAAUGUGCACUCCCAGGGUAAGGGUGAUGUUCAGAGGGAGAAUGCAAGCCUAGCUCUCCUGGCCCUGGCUUCAAUCCCUAGAACCAAAAACUAAAAUAAAAUAAAAUAAAAAAUCAAAGUUUGGUGUCAUAUGCCU